UACGUAGGGACCAAGCGUUGUUCGGAUUUACUGGGCGUAAAGGGCGCGUAGGCGGCGUGGUAAGUCACUUGUGAAAUCUCUGAGCUUAACUCAGAACGGCCAAGUGAUACUGCUGUGCUAGAGUGCAGGAGGGGCAAUCGGAAUUCUUGGUGUAGCGGUGAAAUGCGUAGAUAUCAAGAGGAACACCUAAGGUGAAGACGGGUUGCUGGGCUGACACUGACGCUGAGGCGCGAAAGCCAGGGGAGCAAACGGG
rnacentral:rRNA from 1 species